AGCUGGCACAGGCCCUCCCUGUAGCCAAGCCAGCUCCCCAGCUUGUUUUGCCCUUAGGAAUCCAUCAAACCCUCAGCCACAUUCCUUUUAUCUGAGGUCUGGGCCACAGUGCUUUAGUCAGAAUCAUCUGAGGUUUUGUUUGCUUCAUUUUGUUUGGUGCAAGAGGCAAGGAGCAGAUGGUAUACCGUUAACAGAUGGAGAGGAAACCAGAAAGCCUCCGGUCUCUUCUCUGCUUCCUUUAUGUAAAAGCGGAGUUGCUGCAGAAAGGACACGCAGCCUUGCGGGGAGUGAGAUCCCAAAGGAGAAGAACGCGACACCUGCUCUCCAAGGGCGUGUGGGCGGUCCGCCCCAGAUAACCCGAAAGACCUUGGGAACGCGUGUGAAGUGCUUGGAGGGAACCUCUCUGGAAGCUCGAAGAACGAGAGAGACACCAGGGCAGAGGAGGUGGCAGACGCGCCCGCUCUUGGGGCGGGCGGAGGGAGACUCCGGAUGCGCAAGCUCACUGUCCACAGGCGGGUAGUUUUGGUCUAGAGGUAAACUGCGUCCCGAGAAACGCUCGGGGAAGGAAGGAACAAGCAUUGGCUCAUUUAAAGGAAAAAGCCAAGGUCGCCUCCUCCUGCGUAUGAUGUCUUAGGAGGUAGGGGAGAAGCCGCCUGGGUCCGCUUCCAUCGCGGGAGGGGGGAGGAAAAAGGCAACAGCACACGUGCGUGAAUUCAGAGCUGGACCCGGGGAAUUUUAAUGCUGUGUCCCUGCAUCUGUUCUGCUCAAAACUGAUUAUCUCUCAUCCCAGUGACGGUGGGAUCACUGGGACUGAGCAGCCUCGUGUCUAAAAUAAUAAAAUAUCCGCCCCGAUGAGGAAGGGUAAGGGCGUGGCGGGGCACAGUCUUUGUCUUCCUUGCGUGUUGCUGGCGAGGCUGGUGGGGAGGCCGUCGAGCCGAGGUCCGCCCGUCGCCGUUGGCCCUCGCGCCCUUCACUUAGUCCCAGAGCCACCGUGUCUGCGGAGAUGCUCGCCACUGUGGGCGAGGGUGGUGCCAGACGCAGGGAAAGGCCAGGGGACACGCACAACGAGACAGCAUCUGAACUUGGCAAAGUACGAAAGCUCCCCGCUUGCGAACUCUCUGGACCCCAGACUAGAGAACACGAUGUCCCGAGCUGAGUCUCUGUGCCUAGAAUUGGGGCGCAGGGGGCGCACCAGCCUCGAAGGGCUACCGAGCUCCCGGCAGACCCGCAUCAGCCUGGGGCGCCCACAAUAGCGCCUUGGUCCCCCUGAGGCCGAGCAGAGGCUUCUUCACGCUCCUCCUGGUGAGUGAUGGGCGCAGAGGUCACGUGAGCCCACGAGCGCCUUGAACGCCAGGUAAGCCUUUCCGUUUCCCCAGGUCCUUGGAGGAUCCGUUCAGCGCUCCAGGCGAGGGUGCGCCAGAAAGAGCAGCCUGGUCGUUCCAAACCCUUCGAAGCAUUGCAGCGCCGUCAAGGCACCAACAGGUAAACCUCAGGCCGGAGAAGCCACAGGGGUUUCCAGGCACAGCGGCCAACCUGAGCUCAAGCAUUUCAAGCAACCCCUUCAAGAAAGAGCCGACUUGGGGGUCCCCAUGCCGCUCACUCAGAGAACCAGCUGCGUGGGCAUUUGACACCAGGUCCCCGAAGGGUGAGCCCUUGCACAGAGACCUCUCCGCCGUCCGCACCCCCGGACGAGGGCACGAUUUCAGAACACCUGCUCUCUUUGCCGUCACUUCUCCACGUGACUCCCAGCCCACGAGCUACCUCUGCAAGGGACCGAGGCCAGCAAACCUCUUCCUGAUGUACAGCCAGUGGGACUCAGCUGCCUCCUGGACCGAUUCACUUCUCACAAAAUUAUCCUGACAGCCUCGCUUGCAGACCUCGGGGAACCCAGACUGAAGCAGUUGCCUUGCCUUUGGGACCAGGACGGGCGUUGUUUAAAGAUGGGCCCUGUAUCUCACUCCAGAUCAGAAUGUUUUCCUUUUAUAGCAUUUUAACAGCUUUUCCCAGAAAACAUCA